AUGGAUCGAUCCGAUGAGAUAAUGUCAAUGUCAGCGCUCGUGUCAUCCCUCCGCGCUGCCGGCCGACACCAUCUCUCCGCCGGCACCUUCGUGGUGACACCGGUGACGGGCUCCUACCUGUUCAGGAUCGAGCAGUUCAAGCGAAUUCAGAAGAUGCUCGGCAACGGCACCAUGAUCGAGUCAGGCACGUUCCGAGUCGGUGGCCAUGACUGGCGUAUCAGGUGCUAUCCGAACGGCGAGAAGGGACAUGAGGGCUUCAUCGCCCUUUACCUCGUGCACGCCAGCCAUGACCGCACCGGCGACGCUACGGCGGAUUUCUUCAUGAGCAUCCUUGACCGCAUCGGGAAACCAUCGUGGAGCGACGGUGAGGCCCAAAUACCGGAAGAAAUCGAUGAUGAGACCGAAGGCGAUGCUCAGAACUUCUCGAUACGCGGCGACAGGUGGGGCUGGAGAGAAUUCAUGAAGGUUGAAGACCUGGACGAUGAGGAGCACCUCAAGGACGGAUGUCUAACCAUCGUCUGA
rnacentral:rRNA from 1 species